rnacentral:lncRNA from 1 species
AAAAAAAAAAAACAGCCUUUGUGUUUUGUGAGUCCAAUAACUUAAACUACCCUAUUCAUUUGAUUCUUUAACGCCCGAUUCUAGAAUAGAAAACACUCUAAAAUAUAACAGCUAUAUUACUAGUGUGGUAUCUGUAACCAAUCAAAUAACUCCUCUAGUGUUCGCCCACUCCAUCAUAAUUUUUAAAAAAUUACGAUGGUUAAUUUUUUUUUUUCUCAAAGAAAGAGAUAUGAUUGGUUCGAUAUAGAUGAUAUAAUGUAACUGCUACAUAUUAUACUCCCUCUUAGAAUAGCCACUCCAGACAUUCUAUAAAUAAAAACUAGGAAUAAUUUUUUAUAAUGCCCUUCUGUCAAACUAUAAUUUUAUUAAUAUUUUUUUAGAUUUUAAAAUAUCACCAAUGCCUUC